CACAUCCGACGCGCGGCGGAACUGCACUCCCUUUGCUGCCGCGGCGGGGCCGGAAGUAGAAGCGGCUGUGGCGGCGGCGCAAAGCUGAGGGAAGUAGGAAGGCAGGGAGCCGGCGAGCCGGAGCCGAAGUCACAGCGGCGGAGACCCCUGUGCGGUGCGGAGGGGGCGGUGGCCCCGGCUCUGACCCGCGCCGGGGGAGGGGUUGGGCCAUGGCGGAGAUCAGCGACCUGGACCGGCAGAUCGAGCAGCUGCGGCGCUGCGAGCUCAUCAAGGAGAGCGAAGUCAAGGCCCUGUGCGCCAAGGCCCGAGAGAUCUUGGUAGAGGAGAGCAACGUGCAGAGGGUGGAUUCGCCUGUCACAGUAUGCGGUGACAUUCAUGGACAAUUCUAUGACCUCAAGGAGCUGUUCAGAGUGGGUGGCGACGUCCCUGAGACCAACUACCUCUUCAUGGGGGAUUUUGUGGAUCGUGGUUUCUACAGUGUUGAAACGUUCCUCCUGCUGCUGGCACUUAAGGUUCGCUAUCCUGACCGAAUCACCCUGAUCCGGGGCAACCAUGAGAGCCGUCAGAUCACCCAGGUCUACGGCUUUUAUGACGAGUGCCUGCGCAAAUAUGGCUCGGUGACCGUGUGGCGCUACUGCACUGAGAUCUUUGACUACCUCAGCCUGUCGGCCAUCAUCGAUGGCAAGAUCUUCUGUGUGCACGGGGGCCUCUCCCCCUCCAUCCAGACCCUUGACCAGAUCCGGACAAUUGACCGAAAGCAAGAGGUGCCUCACGAUGGUCCCAUGUGUGACCUGCUCUGGUCUGAUCCUGAAGACACAACAGGCUGGGGUGUGAGCCCCCGUGGGGCUGGCUACCUAUUUGGCAGUGACGUGGUGGCUCAGUUCAAUGCAGCCAACGACAUUGACAUGAUCUGCCGUGCCCACCAGCUGGUGAUGGAAGGUUACAAGUGGCACUUCAAUGAGACUGUGCUCACUGUGUGGUCGGCACCCAACUACUGCUACCGCUGUGGGAACGUGGCAGCCAUCCUGGAGCUGGAUGAGCAUCUCCAGAAAGAUUUCAUCAUCUUUGAGGCCGCUCCCCAAGAGACACGGGGCAUCCCCUCCAAGAAGCCUGUGGCCGACUACUUCCUGUGACCCUUUGGUCCCUGCCCUCCCCCUCCAGCCCCUCUGGCCCUUGGACCACUGUGACGCUACCCUCUUCUUCAGAUGGAGGCUGGGCAUGGAGGGCUGCCCCCAGCUCUGCUCUCCCCGCAGAGGGCACUUCGAUGGUGAGGACUUUCUCUGGAGAGGCUCGGAGCCGCCGCUCCAUGCUCCUCCUCUCCUUUCUCCCCACCUGAACCAUGAAGUUUCCAAUAAUUUUUGUUUUUUCUUUUUUUUUGUUUGUUUGUUUGUUUUUAGAUAAAAAUUUUGAGAAAAAGAAAAAAUUCUAAUAGAAGAAAUAUGGUCUUUGGGUUUGUGUCAGACUUGAUUGGGGGUGGUAGAGAUGCCAGCCUGGGACCAGGAUGCACACCUGGACCUUGACUGCCCUAGAGCCUUGGUUUCCACAGGAAGGUGAGGCUCAGGCCACUUUACUUGCGUGGAGCCUCCUGGUCCCCAUCCACUGACAGUUCUAGGUAGAGGGCCGUGUUCUGCGAGACAGUCCUAUUCUGAAAACAAUGAGUGUCUCAGGACAUUGAUUCUGCCAUUUUCUUGAAGAGGAGCCAGGCCCAGAGCAGGUGGACUUGCUCAUGUGCACAAGAUCAAGCAUCUGGAAAAAUGGCAAGUCUAGAUUGGGGUGGGGGUCUCCCCACAAAAACCUUUGCUUACCCAGUCCCUCCCAGGGCCAAACACCAUUAGCCCAAUGUUUCCAGAGCACUGAUGUCUUUUCAGUUUUAUUAGCAAAAAUACUCUGUUCCUGAGAACAGAUUGGUGUGGCUCACACCGGGGCCAGGAGAUAUGGCUAGCUGAGCCCCAGGGUGAAGCCGGGGCGUGGGUAGUGCUGGCCCAGGGCCCCAUUUGGCCAGGCAGAGCCUCCCUCUAUUCACACAGAGGUGAAAGUCGGGAAGGGGAAGCUGGCCCCAGCUGGACUCCCAGCAGCUUAGCCAGAGCUUUGAAGCCAGAGGGGGUGGGAAUGAAGUCAAAGUGUGAAGUGGGGUGGAAGAGGCCCAAGGCAGCCAUUUGGUGUGGGGGGUGGGGCCAGUGGAAGUGAGGGAGCUAUAGGUCUGGGGGAAGGGAACUGAAAGUUUGUGGUGGACAACUGAGGGAGGGAGGCAGAGGGGCUAGCAAUGGCUCAGUACAUAGGUUUGGAGCCCAUAUUGAGGUAGGCCCCGGGCUCAGGGUAGGGUAAGGGCAAGGGACCCCCUUGGAGGAAAUGGGAGGCAAAGGAUGCUGGGUGUGCAGCUGCUAGGUAUCCUGAGCCUCCUGGCCCAGGCUGCAGCUCUAGGGAUGCAGCUGAGUAGGGCGCAGGGCACCCAGAGUCUGGAGCCUGAGGAUAGCUGGGGUUCCUGAAGUGGAGAAAGGUAUCAGGACAGGUGAGGGACCCAUCCACCCACCCACCCCCAAGCUAGAACAACCCAGUCCUGUGCCUUUGUCCCACUCACCUGGUUGGGAGGUGACUGGGAGCCCCAUGGAAAGCUGCAGGGUGCAGAAGGUAGGCCUCAGCACUGGAGCUACCACAUGGAGGAGCUGGGGCAGGGGCAGCUUCCCUGAGAGCUGGGGCCUGCUCUGGAUCUGACUCACGAAUAUCUCCACCCAGUGUGGAAUCGCAGGGGCCACCUGGUGCAUCUAGGGGGGUGGAAGAAACAGGUUCGGCUAAGGAGGAUCAGCAUCUGAGGCUUGGCCCCAUCGCUAUUGGGACUACUCACCUCCACUCCCACAGGCCUCUGUAGCUACUGGCUCUGGGCCUCGAAGUUUCCUCUUAACACGAGCGUCUCGCUCCCUGGGAAGUACAAUGAUAAUAGCACCAGGUGCCAGGCAUUCACCCUCUCAGGGACCCUAUUAAGUUUUUUUAUUAUACCCAUUUUACAGAGGAAGGAACUGAAGGCCACAGAAUUCAAUGACUAGAAAGUAGCAGAGGUGGGACUUAUUCCACACUUAGAACUUCCUGAUGGUUUCCUAUUGUAUUUAGAAUCAGUGGAAACCUUCCAAAGCAGCUAGGCUCAUCCCACCUUUCUCUCUCUGGCCAUCUCAACUGCCUUUCAGGCCCCUUUUCUGGCCCCUCUUCACCUGCUUAACUCAUCCUUGUCUCAGUUCAUGUAUAACUUCCCCCCAAGAAGUCCUCUGACCUCCCACAUACCAUACCCUCCCUGAUAACAUUUGUCAAGUUACACUGUUAAAUUUGUUAGGGUAAUCUUUUGAUUAAUGUCUGUCUCUUCUGCUUUGAGGGCGAGGGCCAGCUCGGGCUGUACUCAGAAUAAAAGCCAAGGUCCUAACUAAACCUCACUUCUGUCACUUCACUUCACUCCAGCCACAGCACAGUUUCUGCCAUUCUCCCGGAAACCCUUGGCAAAGGGGUUGGCUGCAAUCUUCAGCUGUGUGAUCUGGGGGCAUACAUUCAGAGUCAAAGCUCCUGCAGCCUGGGCAGAGUGCCACCACCCACCACCCCUGCUGACGUCGGGGUCCUUAUUUUCCGGGCUGUACCUGCUCUGCCAGUGACUACAGUGUGACCUUGAUUUUGAGAAACUGAGGUCCAAGGAAGUGUAGCAGCUUGCUCGAGAUUAUCCAGAUGAUAAGAGGCGAAGUUGGGAUUCUCACCACCGCUUUGGCCAUGAUACCAGGGACAGACUCUUGGAAUGGAUGAGCUAAAGCUGGCCACCGGUGUUAGACCCUGGGCGCCAGAGCCUGGGGACAAGCCAGUUCCUACCGUUGAGCCUCACCUUCUCCCACUGCUAGGCUCCUCUGAUGCCCCUGUCCCUCCAGGCCGAGUUGGUGUCUGCUGUGGGCUCCCCCUUUCCCUUUCUCAUCUCUGAGUGUGCUUAAACAUGUCUGUCACACUAAACUUGUUUUGUUUCUUGCAGUGCCCCGGGGAUCCAGCCUGGCCUAGUUCAGUCAAUACAAGUUUGUGAAAUUCGUGCUUUAUUAAGUGACAUACUAGGGCCGCAGAGGGCUGAGGAAUUUGGGGAGCUUCUGGAGUAGGAAACAGGAGUGGCAGGUUGGAAGGCUGAGGCAGCAGAUGGGUGUUGCUGGGAAUUCAGCUGUCCCAGCCAUGCCCACCCUCUGCAGCCAAGUGAGGAGGUCCACAAGGGCAAGUUAAGCCCCUUGCUGUGUGCUCUGCACUCUAAUGGCCUCAAAAUGGAAUGAUUAUCUGUGGCUCUGAAGGGACAUUCCUGAUGAGAGUGGAAGCCAGGCUGGCAUGGGGUGCAGUAUCACUCUGGGUCUGGAAUGCAGUGGAACCAGUGAGUCAGGCUGGUUAGGGCCCCAGACUCUGGCCUUAGACUGUCCUAGGUUGCCAUGAUUGCAGUUCAAUAGGAUCUCCCAUCCCCACCCUCCAAAAA